CCUACGGGCGGCAGCAGUGAGGAAUAUUGGACAAUGGGCGAGAGCCUGAACCAGCAAAGUCGCGUGAGGGAGUACUGCCCUCUGGGUUGUAAACCUCUUUUGUCGGGGAGCAAAAGCCGGACGUGUCCGGCUGUGAGAGUACCCGAAGAAAAAGCAUCGGCUAACUCCGUGCCCGCAGCAGCGGUAAUACGGAGGCGGCGAGCGUUAUCCGAAUUUAUUGGGUUUAAAGGGGGCGCAGGCGGAUUUUUAAGUCAGCGGUAAAAUCGUGGGGCUCAACCCCAUCCAGCCGUUGAAACUGGGGAUCUAGAGUGUGCGAGAGGUAUGCGGAAUGCGUGGUGUAGCGGUGAAAUGCAUAGAUAGCACGCAGAACCCCGAUGGCGAAGGCAGCAUACCGGUGCACAACUGACGCUCAGGCACGAAAGCGUGGGUAUCGAACAGGAUUAGAUACCCCAGUAGUC
rnacentral:rRNA from 1 species